CAAUGGUAAACAACACACCCACUCUCACAUGUGUACAAACCAGUGCAAACAAGGUCACAGAGAAGUGGGGAAUUAUAGGAACAAGUAAACCAAGAACCCAUAUUGUUCAAAACCGUUCUUGCUAUGUUGAUCUUUGCGUACCGUGGUUGAUUACCCUAAGUUAAACUCUGGAGUAGGGACACUAAUUAAGCCCCUAAUAUGCGAGUUACUGAUAUUAAAUAAAUACCACUGCAUUUUUAUUAAAAAAACAUUUCCUGUGAUUUUAAUCCUGUAACGAUGAACAAAGCAGUGCAAAAAGAUAUCUUGUGGGAGUUUAAUUUAGGAUAGUAAAAAGCUCCCUGUAAAACUAACAGACAACAUAUCUCAUAGGGUUGUUUCGUGCCGCCAUUCCUUAUCUAUCUUCUGAUCCAGUUUGAAGUAGCACAUAAGAUACGUAUGGAUGGUGCUUAAGAUGGUAUGCAACUACAUGUAUCUAGAUUUGGAAAGAAAUAAAGCGGUGGUGUAUGUAUAUCAUUAGGCUAUUAUUUCACAAUUGCAGUGGAAACCUACUUUCUGGUCGUCGGCGCGACUGAGGCGGUCAAUGGCGUCAUCGCGCUAGGCAAGCUGAGAGCGCAUCCCGUGGCCUCAGUCUCCAGCCACCCGAUGUGGGAUGCGCAACGUGGGAAGCUAGCGCGUUGGAGGUGAUCUUUCGCGCCACGUCGAGCUGCUUAAACCGGUCCACCGGAAGCAUCGCCGCCAGCUUUUAUGAAGGUUAAUACUUCGUCGAGACGUGCCAGAAGUUUGUCGUCGGGACUGCCUCCUAAUUCCCGCCAUCCCAGCGCACCGGCGCCGCCUUGGACCGCUUCGAGCUCGACAACGACGACGGAGGGACUGUGGUUCUUCCGCCCUGGGCCUCCUCGACCUUGAUACCCGUGGCGGAGGGAUUGUGGUGCUGCCGCCCUGGGCCUCCUCGACCUUCAUACCCGCGGCGGAGGGAUUGUGCAGCUACCGCCAAAGGGUUCUCCAACAACCAGGAUCGCCGAGGCGGGUUCGGAGUGUUGAUCUCUGGUGCAUACUUGGACUACUUCCUCGUGGAGUUGAUGCCGGUUAUUCGAAGCAGCAACAUGAUUAGCCUGUGGCAGCACCACUAAUGUCCUCAUGGUUACUUGAUUCCGCGGUUUGACCCUUCGAGGUGGUGUAGCCCAAACUGAAUACUGCUCCGUACAUGAAGAAGGGCCUCAUGAUGAGCUUUAGGAAGAUGGAGCAAUAACACAUGCUGAGUUGGAAAAAGAUCAUCCAUAGUUGAAGAACAUGACAAAGAACAGAGGAGUUUCAUUCUCUGAAUAAGGGAAAUCAAAAUGCAAAAAGCUUGCCUGAUUCGAGAGGGGGAGAGGGUGUUACAUACCUGAACUCCCUAAACUUCUCCGAUGAUCCGCCUUGUGACUCAAUGAUAUGAUCCGCCUCGGGAGGGACAGGUUGAACUCCAGAUACACGAGAUCUCUAGCCCGAGCCAUGGUUCAGUGUACCCUUUAUAUGACUGCUUCCUUCUCGCAAUUACGACGCGUUUAUGGGAAAUGUUUUAAUUACCAUAGCAUAAUGUAUGGGUCGAGUUAAUUUAAAUUAUUUGUUCACUGUAAUUUGUGGGAAGGUAAUUUGUGAGAUUACCAUUAGCGUGAUUCCUGAGCUGAUGAUUCCUAAAGUGGCCCAGGUUGAUUAAAUGCGUGAUUCCAGGGUGUUA